AGCUAUGCGGAGGAGGAAUGACAAGUAGAAGAGGGGAAAAGGGAAAAUAUAAACAAAAAUAAAUAGUACAUUUCACACAGAAGCAGAGGAACAGAAAGUGAAAUCUGAGAUAGACCAUCAAGCUUCAGACCAUCAUGCAACAAGGGCUCCAGCCAGUUCCAGAUGAAGACACCACCCCGGGCCAUCAAGGAGCUUCCCUGCCUCCACUAGACAGAGCAGAGUGAGAGUUCCGUGAUUCCCAAUAGGUAGGGGCUACGCCCUAAGCCAGCAUGAAGCAAUUACAGAAAAAAAGACCAUUGGUUCCUCUGCCUCCCAAUGGGGAUCACAUCUUUCAGUGGGGAGAUGAGGCAGAAAAAUAAGGUCUGGAGGCAGGGAAUUCAAGCCCGAUUCACACGUCAGCUAUGACAGAAACUAUCCUCUCCAUAGGGUGUAGGCCAAGUAAAUGACUUUGUAACUUUACUCCUCAUUUUCUUAGGGUGCACCCCAAGAAACCAAUGGAAUCCUCUAGAGCGUAUUUAAAUUCCCCAAAAUUCUGUAAUGGGGCCCUUGAGCCCUUAUGCUCAGGCCCACUCCCACACUGUGGAGUGUACUUUCAUUUUCAGUAAAUCCCUCAUUUCUUCCUUGC